UUUUGACCUCGGAUCAGGUAGGGAUACCCGCUGAACUUAAGCAUAUCAAUAAGCGGAGGAAAAGAAACCAACAGGGAUUGCCCUAGUAACGGCGAGUGAAGCGGCAACAGCUCAAAUUUGAAAUCUGGCUCUUUUAGAGUCCGAGUUGUAAUUUGCAGAGGGCGCUUUGGCUUUGGCAGCGGUCCAAGUUCCUUGGAACAGGACGUCACAGAGGGUGAGAAUCCCGUACGUGGUCGCUGGCUAUUGCCGUGUAAAGCCCCUUCGACGAGUCGAGUUGUUUGGGAAUGCAGCUCUAAAUGGGAGGUACAUUUCUUCUAAAGCUAAAUAUUGGCCAGAGACCGAUAGCGCACAAGUAGAGUGAUCGAAAGAUGAAAAGCACUUUGGAAAGAGAGUCAAACAGCACGUGAAAUUGUUGAAAGGGAAGCGCUUGCAGCCAGACUUGCUUGCAGUUGCUCAUCCGGGCUUUUUUGCCCGGUGCACUCUUCUGUAGGCAGGCCAGCAUCAGUUUGGGCGGUAGGAUAAAGGUCUCUGUCACGUACCUCCUUUCGGGGAGGCCUUAUAGGGGAGGCGACAUACUACCAGCCUGGACUGAGGUCCGCGCAUCUGCUAGGAUGCUGGCGUAAUGGCUGUAA
rnacentral:rRNA from 3 species